ensembl:lncRNA
CAAACUUUCUGAACUAUAUAAUAAUUUAAUAAAUGGAAAACUAACUCCCCUUGGAUUUGAUGAAAUUUUGACCAAACUAGCAAGGUUUUCCUUUUCUUUACAAAAUAGUUCUCACAUCUAUUUGGAGAAAUAAAUAAGAUAGAAUAACCACGAAAAUUUUUCUAAUGUAAAAUUGCUCUCGUAGGUAUUGUCAUAUCAGUAGAAAGAGUAAAACAAAUAGGUGCCAAAUAAAUUUGUGAAAACAGAUUUUCAAGAUGUACACUUCUAAUCUGUAAUAAAAGGCAAUCUCAAAUCAAUAUGCUAGAUUGUAUUAUUGCUUUUAUGAUAUUGGAAAAUAUACUAAAUAAUUUAAUAGAUCAAUUCCUCUUAUAUUGUUUACUCAAAUAAAUAUUGCAUGGACUAAAUAUUUAAAUGUAAGAAGAGAAACCAUAAGCAUUCUGGAGAGAACUAUAAGUGAGAUGGGACAGGACUUUGAAGCAUGAACUCAAAGGCAGAAAAUAUAAAAAAAAUAUAGAUUAAACUCCACUAAAGUGAAAAACUUCAAAGUUGGCAGGAUUUUGCCACAUGCAAAUUCAAACACAUGUUAAAAACUAAUAAAAAACUUUAAAAAUCUGUGGAACAAAAAUAUAUUGAUAGAUUUCUUGAAUAUAUAAAGAGCUCUUACACAUAGUAAUAAAGGAAACCACAAGUAAAAAAUCAAGAAGUAAAUGAUUCAUAAUUAUAUGGAGAUGUUGCAGUUCAAAAGUAAUCUAAAAAUUUAAAUGUUUUAGCAGAAAUAAAAAAUAUUGAUAAUUAUCUAUAUUGAUGAGAGAAUAAAUAAAAUUGUCUCAACUAAAUAUAUAUGUAUAAAUAUAUACAAAUAUCUGUAUAUUGUCGAAGGAAUGAUAAUGGUAUAUAUUUGAGCAAUUUGAUAAUAAAAGUCAAAACACUUGGGCAGCACAUGUUAUUGGACAUUUGAUUGCCACUUUUACUUUUCAUAAUGAAUGCAUUAAAAAGAAUGAUAAGAGAUUUUAUGAAUCUUACCUCUCGUACUCUCUGUACCUAGCCACGGUUUUAUUGUUCAUAACAUGAGAAUAGCAAUAAUAUUUUCCUUUUAUGUAUUGUAUUUAUUGACAUGGAAAGAAAUUAACCUGUUAGAAAAUCAGAAAAAAAUACCUAAUUGUAUAUAUCCAGGUUCCUGUUCAUGUACAUUAACAAAUAUAGGAAAUGAGCGGAAUAUAAAUGAAAGUUAUCCUUAAAGUGAUUGGGUUACAUGAUUUUUUUACUUUAAUAAACUAAAGCAGAAAUUGUACUUCCCUACCCUUAAGUAUAAUCAAGUGAUAGUGCAUUUUACUGACUGACUUCAUAACACUUUCCCUAUUUUAUCAUGAGUUCUCCUUAUUGAGAGAUUACUGCAAGUCCCUUGUAUGGAUCUGACUUCUAAGUGAAGUCAAGUGUGCUGACAUCCUUACUUCUCUAUUUGCAGCCUCUUCUGACCUGUGUUUUAUGCUACUGGAGCACCAGUGUUCCCCGUAGCUUAUUGGCCUUAAAUGUGAUGCAAACCCCAGUCUAUCAUCUUCCAUGAGAGGGUGUGACUUUCUCUAUUAAUUUAUUCUCCCUUUUCUGGCUUCUUACCAUGUUUUCACAUUUCCCUGAACGCUUAAUUAUCCUCUAUUCUGACACUAAUGGCUUUAGCGCUAGCCUCCUUUUUCAGCUAGUCCAUUAGCAAACCAAACAAGGGCCUCACAUUAAAGGAUUUAGAUGUCUUUCACCAGCUGAGCUAUCAGGGGAUAACGGUAUUCAGAUAAAUAAAAGAAUUUUGGUGAUCAUAACUUCAUUUUUUUUUCAGCUGCACCAUUUAGAAUACCAUGUCUCCUUGGUGAAAAAUAACAUGUUACAUGUUCAGAGAAGUUGUAAUAUAUGUCUAACAUUGUAGGUUGCAAUUCUAUCUACAUUAGAUGCCAAAGAAGAAAGACAAGGGUAUAUAAAUGAAGAGUCAACAGCGUAUCUACAGCAGCUGUUACUUGUCAUUUAUUAAAUUUGCUUUAAGGAAUAAAGCAGGAAGCUAUACAACUUAAGUGAAACUCCUACAUUGCUUUCAAUGCAGCAUGGAGCUAAUUAAGGUUUUCAUUGUACAUAUAUAUAUCUCUCUCUUAACAUUUGACUUUCAACUGUGUAAACACGUUUGUCAAUUGCCACCUAAUAAUACUCAGAAUACUAACAUUUAACAAAACUUUUUUGUAGUUGGAUGGUGACAUAUUUCCUCAAGUAUUUUUAUGCAGAUAGUGGCCUGAUACAUCUUUCUACAGUAAUAAAUUGAUCAGCAGAAUUAGAUACAGUAAUUUUUUCAAGAAUUUGUGAGGUUUAAAUUGACAAAUAGAAAUGGCAAGCAAUGGGAUCUUAGAGUAUAUGAAGAAGCCGCUUGGCGUAAACCUAAUUUGGCCUGACUUUGUUUUUCAAAAAGGGCCUGACAUGGCCAUUGAGCGUGGAUUGUAUUUCUGCUUUAAGCAUUUCUUCUGUCCCAAAGGCAAGAAAAAAUGCCCUUAAGAUAAAGGUGCAACUUCCCCCACAUUGACAUUUCCUUAAGGAUAAGCAUCUCUCCCUAGACUAGGAAGUGAUUGCUGUGCUCACUUGUGACCACCCAGCUCAAGACAACAGACUUGCCACCCUGCUGUGUCCACUGAGACAUCAGACCUUCUACCUGCUGUGUCCAUCAAUUGCUGUGCCAACAGAGCAGUCUCGUGACUGUUGUAAAAGGGACAUUUCAACCAUAUGUGAAACAUGCUCUUUGAGGGUAUAUAGCCACUCUGUACACCCCACUUCUUUGGUGCCCUUCCUCCCUUGGGGAAAGAAGGCCCCAGAGUAUAUAGUACUCACAUUUGGCUCAGAAUAAACUCACCCAAAAUUUUCAUUUAUAGAUUGGUUAUGGAUUAUUUUCAUUGACAAAAUAAUAGUUGGGAUUGUUUUUAUACCAAUAUGUGAAGAAAUUAUAAAUACAAAAUGUCAUUGCUUGAAAAUUGGAACGGCAAGAUAGGAGCUAGGAUUUUUUCAACAAGAGAAGAAAAAUGCAAUAAUGAAAUCAGAGAAUAGCAACAAAAGGAACUCAAUUUUUUAACCGAGUUGGGCAAAGUCUUUUCAAUUUCCCACUAGUAAAAUCAAAGAGUUGUGACAAGAACCAUUAGCAGAAUGCUUGCUGAGAUUUUUCUUUUCUAAUGAACUCUUGAUUCACAUUGCCUCAAAGGGUGUGAAGAAAACAAGUUGGCUUAAGGACCAUUUCCAGCUUGCUGCUCCUAAUUCUUUAUAGAUGUCUGCUUACACUACUGGGUUUGAGCCUCAGAGGGUGAGGCCAGAUCUACUUCUAAAAGAAAAUGUUAUCAGCCAUCUCACACUUCUGAGCAACGCCAUAACACAUAGACCCCUGACACUGUUUAUUCAGUGCAGCCAUUCAGUGUGCAAGAUAUCCAAGCUAUUCUAUCAUGUUAGAAGAAAUAUAGUCUCCGUAUUGUACUGGAAAGAACUUAAGAUGCAGACUACGAUGAGACCCUAUAAGAUGGAGAAGACACAAGAGGAAAGGAGCCAGAGUCUCUGAAUGAUGGUGUAGUGAUGCUUUCCUGACAAUCUUAACAUCCACUCAGGACUCUGACAUUAGCAAGAUAUAAAUUUGUAUGUCAUUAAGCCACUGAAAUUUUGGAGUCUGUUUGUUAGUUCAACAAACCUAGUCCACAGGGUCUAUGUUUUUAAGAUCUAAGCACGUUAAAAUGGUGUCAGAAGAGAGUGUAAAUUUGGAUAAUUAGAGGGAAAGGAAACAAACAAUAUCACUACAUCAGUUAUAAGACAAGAGAGAUACGGACAGAGUACACAGGUUGGUGAAUGGCCCACAGCCAGAAGAGUGUUCUGGUUAUCCAUUGCUGUAUAAUAAACUGUUCUGAAACUUAACAACUUAAAGCAAUAAUCAUUUCAUUCCAUCUUCUUAAGUUUAAGAUUUUGAGGGUCAGGAAUUCAGGCAGAGCUCAGCUGGAUGAUUCUUCCGUUCCAUGUGGCAUUGAGAGGUUGUUGGUAGACGAGUGGAUCUGAACCAUCAAAGACUACUUUGUUCAUAAGUCUUGUGUUUUGUGUAAAUGGCCAGAAGGCUGGGCUUAGCUGGGAUUAUGGGCUUGGGGCCAGUAUGUGAUUGCUCCCCAGGACUCUGAGUAAUCCAAAUUCUUACACAGGCCUCCAAGAAAGAGAGUUCUAAAAUAUUUGGUUGAAAUCAGCAAGUCUUCAUUUGAUUUAACCUCAGAAGUUCCACCUCAAUUUCAAUGGCAGAAAAAUUAGAUUUCACCACUCAUUGAAAAGUAUGGCAAGUAUUUGCAGUCUUCUUUAAUGUAAAGCAGAACAACUUUUUUUUUUAACAAGCUAGAAGGAAGAAUUAAUUGAUAAGGAUGUCAUUUGCUUUUACAAGCUCUGGAAAAAACUUGAGGAAUUUCCAUUGAUUCUAUAAGAUAAGACAGUGAUAUAAAAUUUUUGAGAAUUUUCAGACAAAUAUAGAUGACCAAGUAUGCUGGUUCAAGUCCUUUUGGAAGCAGACACCAAGAAGGAAUUGGUUGUUCAAAAGAUUUAUUUGGGGAAAAUUUAGUGAUGGACAAAGGACGGAAGGAACAGGAGUUAGUAGGGAGAGUUUUAGAGCAAAUGCAGGUCUGACAACUAUUAAAGGAGAUAGGAAAGGAAGGAUAAAAUUGAAUAGGAGGAGUCUCAGACUAAAGUGUAGUUCUGAGAAAUUCUCAACCAGUGUGAUGGGGAGUCUCAGAGCAAAGAAUGCACAUUUGAGGAGUCCUUCGUGAGAGAGAAAUAGUGCUCUAUUCCCUCCACCAUGUGCAUUCAUUGGCUGGGAGUAGCCCAGGGAAAAUAUGUCCUGUGUAUAAAUGCUGGAUGGAUCCAAAGUUGUGGCAGCUGGAGUCAGGAAAUCAACUACGUUGCUCGCAAGGAAUCUCUCUUGAAGGGAGAUCUGAGAAGUACACAUCCAUGGCUGCCACAUUAGGCUUGAGAAUAGUUAAGAAGGUGUGGAAAAUUCUUGUCUGGAAUGGGAGAGUUGGUUCAAGAGACAUAGUAAUGGCAUAGUUAUCAAUUCUAUAAUUGAUAUAGCUAGGUUUAGUGUCCAUGGAUUUUGAGCACAAUAGAUUUUCUGUGAAUUUCUCUUGCUCAGCUGUCUAGGUUCAACAUUAAACUCUUAUUCCCUAUUUUUCUCCAUCCUUUAGUGCUCUGUCU